CGUUUUUUCUGAUUCACUUCUUAGUCUUUAUUCUUGCUCUUACGACUUGCACUCCCACAAAGCCUUACACAAAGCAAAGUUUUCUGCCCUAACUCAACGAUUCUCAUAACAUAAGCUAAGCUCCACUCAGAUAUUGGCAAAUCCUUCAGGGAGCCAAAGUAAAAGAAGAAGAAGAUGUAACAUACAAUAA